CUCCUCUCAGGGUUGAACCUGCAGAGUUUCCAUUACUCUACUAGUUUCAACUAUGAGAAGGAGAGUCAAACAGAGGCCUACCCAUUCCAUUUCUAGCUUGGGCAGUGGCUAGCGAGUGGAAGGCAAUCUGCUACAAGU